rnacentral:tRNA from 1 species
GCGUCUAUAGUUCAGUGGUAGAAUGUUCGCCAACCAGCCAUUCUGGAGGUCCGGGUUCGAUUCCCAGUUGAUGCA